rnacentral:rRNA from 1 species
AUUGAACGCUAGCGGGAUGCUUAACACAUGCAAGUCGAACGAGUGGCGGACGGGUGAGUAAUAUAUCGGAACGUUCCCAGUAGCGGGGGUUAACUACCCGAAAGCGUGGCUAAAACCGUCUUCUCUAGGAGCGGCCGAUAUCGGAUGAGCUAGUUGGCGGGGUAUAGGCUCACCAAGGCCACGAUCCGUAGCUGGUUUGAGAGGAGGACCAGCCACACGGGGACUGAGACACGGCCCAGACUCCUACGGGAGGCAGCAGUGGGGAAUUUUGGACAAUGGGGGAAAGCCUGAUCCAGCCAUCCCGCGUGUGUGAGAAGGCCUUCGGGUUGUAAAGUACUUUUGGCAGAGAAGCGGUACCGGCAGAAUAAGCACCGGCUAACUACGUGCCAGCAGCCGCGGUAAUUC